rnacentral:rRNA from 1 species
UACGUAGGGCGCAAGCGUUGUUCGGAAUUACUGGGCGUAAAGCGCGCGCAGGCGGUCUUCCAAGUCAGUGGUGAAAGCCUGGAGCUCAACUCCAGAACUGCCAUUGAAACUGUUAGACUUGAGUACGAGAGAGGUGAGUGGAAUUCCCAGUGUAGAGGUGAAAUUCGUAGAUAUUGGGAAGAACACCGGUGGCGAAGGCGGCUCACUGGCUCGUAACUGACGCUCAGGCGCGACAGCGUGGGGAUCAAACAGG